rnacentral:lncRNA from 1 species
AAUUUGCAGAAAUAGUAAAAGGUAGAACAAAUGUAUGGGAUCUUAACUAAAUUUACUUACAUCAAUAAUAAAGUUUACAAUUAUAUCGAUAUUAUGUGUUUAAAUUUUGUAUUUGUCUAUUCACAACAGCAACAAAAACUUUAAUAAUUACCAAAGUACCGACGAAAAAAGGUUAGCGGUUUCUUUGAGAUGUCCGCUGAGGCACUGGCGAGUCUAGGAGACAGCGGCUAUGAGAGCGACAAGCAGUGUCCGAGAUCCAACAUCCACGAAGAAGAUAGGUACCUUCCGAUCCCUUGGUUGAUGAUGAUGAAUGAUGAACAGUGGUAGAGCUUGGUUGUUACUCUUGAUGAUUUAAAUUGAUGUUGAGGAUGAUAUAAAUUGUUGUUGCUCUUGAUGAUGAAUUGACGAUGAUGGAUGGAUGAUGAAUUCAUGUUGAGGAUAAGGAAGAUUGGGGUGGCGGCUGGUGUAGGGCCUUAGGGUUUGUUCUGUGUUUUUAUUUUUGUUUUUUUGUAACUUUUUGCUUUAUAUUUAUAUUUAAUAAUAAAAAUUAAUUAAUUAUAAACUACUGUAGUCUGGGUUCGGGUUUCAGAUAUCCAGAUUUAGCUGAACCCGAAACCGGACAUGGAUACAUCCAGGUUUUAAAAAAUGCAUCCGAAUUCUGCAUUUUUUUUUUAUACAUUUGGGUUUAUCCGGGUCUAGGCCGGGUCCGAAAAAAUUUGCCAUCUCUAGUAUAUAUUCAUUCAACAUAAUAUAUAUUCAUACUUAAGCAUGAUUUUCAAGUUAAAAUUUUUCCCUUAGUUUUUACUCAAAUAUACCAGUAACCUAGUUUCAGUAUUGGAGAAAACAAAC